GAUGGAGAAAAUUAAGUACAAUCAAUUGAUGAAAAGGCAACAAGUAAAAAACUCCAAAUUAAUUUGACUCCAAGAUGACAGUUACAAGUUAGAAAAACAAGUUUUAGCUCUAGAGAAGGAAUGUGCAGCUUUGGCUGAUCGUCUAAUACAAGGGCAAGUGACCAGAGCCCAGGAAUACGAGGAGGUGUAUAGUGUUAGAAGAGAAUUGACUACUUUAAGAAAGAAAGUGCCAUCCUUUGAGAAGAAAGAGGAAUCACAAAACAACCAUGUA